AUCUUAGUUGCCAGCAUUCAGUUGGGCACUCUAAGGUGACUGCCGGUGACAAACCGGAGGAAGGUGGGGAUGGGGUCAGAUCAUCAGACCCCAUACGACCUGGGAAACACACGUGGUACAAUGGGCAGAGCAAAGGGCAGCGAAGCCGCGAGGCUAAGCCAAUCCCACAAAUUUGUUCUCAUUUCGGAUCGCAGUCUGCAACUCGUCUGCGUGAAGCAGGAAUCGCUAGUAAUCGCGGAUCAGCAUGCCGCGGUGAAUACGUUCCCGGGCCUUGUACAC
rnacentral:rRNA from 1 species